ensembl:lncRNA
GCAAACUGUAACACCCAUUAAACAACAAAAAAAUAAGUCUCCUGGUAGUUUUGGGAUUUUUUUUGUGAGACUAUUUUUAUGUUCUGACACCAGCUCUUGCUGUUUCAAUUGUUUCUUCAGGUGUUGAAAAACCCAAUCAAUGCCAACACGCUGAGCCCACCAAGAAGGCAGAGAGGAGCCUGUUCAAACACAAAGCACCUACAUAAGAUGUCUGCACAGAAUCAGAGGGCACUGCUGGCAUCUACAGUGCUUUUGGACCAGAGCAUGUUGUUGUUCACAAGCCAAAGAGGAUGGUGAAUCCACAAAACCAGACACAGGUAGGGAGGAUGCAUGGGAAGCAAGGAGGGGUGUGUGGGUGCGUGUUAAAAGUAAGCAGGGUGAAGCUAGAGAGAAGACACUUUUCCUAAAGGAGGAAGAAGAUUAUCUAUCCUUUGUUACAGUGUUUUUCUUUUGGUGUUUUUCUUUUUGCUGAGCAUGGCAGAGCAGAGAUUCAUUGUGAAAUCUAGCAGAAGAAGUGAUCUUGAUUUUGUUUGCUCAGUUUCUCAAGAACUCUUCUAAGACUAAGGUUAAAGACCACUAAACAAAUGCAAGCUCC